GUGGGUAUAGCUAAGUGGUAGAGUGCUUGCUUAGCAUGCAUGAGGUCCUGAGUUCAAUCCCUAGUACCUCCA
rnacentral:tRNA from 1 species